GAUUUAGUAAAGUGGCGCACGGGUGAGUAAUACCUAGGUAACGUACCUUCUCGCUGGGGAUAACCAAGGGAAACUUUGGCUAAUACCGAAUGCCUCUAUCAUUUCUGCGGAAAGGGUAGAGAAAGCCGUAAGGCGCGAGAGGACCGGCUUAGGUCCUAUUAGCUAGUUGGUAGGGUAACGGCCUACCAAGGCUACGAUGGGUAGCUGGUCUGAGAGGAUGGCCAGCCACACUGGAACUGGAAUACGGUCCAGACUCCUACGGGAGGCAGCAGUUAGGAAUUUUGCGCAAUGGGGGAAACCCUGACGCAGCAACGCCGCGUGAAGGAAGAAGGCUCUCGGGUUGUAAACUUCUUUUGACGGGAACGAAAAAAAUGACGGUACCCGUAGAAAAAGCACCGGCUAACUACGUGCCAGCAGCCGCGGUAAUACGUAGGGUGCAAGCGUUAUUCGGAUUUAUUGGGCGUAAAGCGCAUGUCGGCGGUUUAGUAAGUCUAAUGUGAAAGCCCCGGACUUAAUUCGGGAAGUGCAUCGGAUACUGCUAGGCUAGAGUACAGGAGGGGUGAGCGGAAUUCCUGGUGUAGAGGUGAAAUUCGUAGAUAUCAGGAGGAACAACAGCGGCGAAGGCGGCUCACUGGACUGUAACUGACGCUCAGAUGCGAAAGUGUGGGGAGCAAACAGGAUUAGAUACCUGGUAGUCCACACUGUAAACGAUGGGUACUAGAUGUCGGAGGUUCUUACCCCUUCGGUGUCGUAGCUAAC
rnacentral:rRNA from 1 species